rnacentral:rRNA from 1 species
GAUUUCUGGCUUGAAACAUUUUGCCGGCCACGGUUUCGUGUGUUAGUGCUUGAUGUUCUGGCCAUCCUUCCAAUCGCCAUCGGCUUAUCUUCAUUGAUCGGUCGGUGGUAUUGGAUCUUUUACUUUGAAAAAAUUAGAGUGUUUCAAGCAGGCUUUAUGCUAUGAAUACAUUAGCAUGGAAUAAUAAUCUAGGACUUUCGGUUCUAUUUUGUUGGUGUUCUGGAGCUGAAGUAAUGAUUGAUAGGGAUAGUUGGGGGUGCUAGUAUUCAAUGGCCAGAGGUGAAAUUCUCGGAUUCCUUGAAGACUAACUUAUGCGAAAGCAUU